CUUGACUUACCUGCCUAGGACGGGCGGUGGGCGCCUGGAUGGGGUAGGUGAGGGAGGCCCCACAGCAACUGGGUCCUCGGAAGAGCUGGGCUGAUUGUACUCUGGAGCCUGGGGCAGGUCUGGGCUGCCCUCAGUGGCAGAGGCUGUCGCCAGGACCUCUCCCUUACAACCUCCAGGGGAGGAGGUUUUGGAGGAGAGGGUGUUCCCUUGGGACCUGGAAGGACCCAGCCUGGAUUUCCAUCCCAGCCCCCUUCCUUCCUCCUGCAUAGCAUCACCUUGGAUGCUGCUGACUGGAGGCUCCUCAUUGAUGAAGAAACAUUGGGGCUUUGGAAGUGAGCCCGGCCGGGACACCGGUGUGGGCCGGAAGUGCUAAGGAGUGAAUGGCAUUUCUUGGGAGAGACCCUCAACCAGUGGCGGAGUGGAGCUGGAACACACUGGAGAUGUGUGUCUACUCUCGUUUCCAGAGGGAUCAAAGUCCACACUCACAGCCGUAACCUUCCCUUUACUGGUGCCCUUUUACUUCACUUGCCUUAGGGUAUUUCUGGGGAUCACACAAAUACAUUCUCUGCACUGAAUCCUUAUCUCAAGCUCUGCUUCUGGGGAACCACCAUGACCAGCUUGUUCUGAUUUUCCUGGGAUUGUUCCAAUUUUAAAAAGUCAAAGUCCCAUAUCCCAAGACUGUCCCGCACCUCAGCACCAGACAGACAGGGAUGAUGGGUCACCAGAGGGGGGGA